rnacentral:tRNA from 1 species
GUGGCUGUGGUGAAGCGGUCAACACGGCGGAUUGUGGAUCCGUUACGCGAGGGUUCGAACCCCUCCAGCCACCCCA